GGGGAUUUGGCUCAGUGGUAGAGUGCUUGCCUAGCAAGUGCAAGGCCCUGGGUUCAGUCCCCA
rfam:Rattus norvegicus chromosome 1, whole genome shotgun sequence.